rnacentral:rRNA from 1 species
CGGACGGGUGAGUAAUGUCUGGGAAACUGCCCGAUGGAGGGGGAUAACUACUGGAAACGGUAGCUAAUACCGCAUAACGUCGCAAGACCAAAGAGGGGGACCUUCGGGCCUCUUGCCAUCGGAUGUGCCCAGAUGGGAUUAGCUAGUAGGUGAGGUAACGGCUUACCUAGGCGACGAUCCCUAGCUGGUCUGAGAGGAUGAUCAGCCACACUGGGACUGAGACACGGCCCAG